GUAGGCUUUCGAGCCUAUACAGCUUGGAGUAAGACAACAUGCAUAAAGAGGAUGAUGUGGUCAAAAUACUCAUUUGCCUAAUAAUUCUGCACUCCCUGUAUAAAAUUGCUUCAGACCAUUUCUCUGACGAGAGCAAAGUCGCGACGAAGCCAAUCUACACACGGGUUAAGCCUUACCCAGCAAAGACCCUAGCAGGAUCGCUACCACUACUAUAACCCACAUCGUAUUGCUAAGCUACUGUUAACUUAUAUAAUUGUGAAACCUCAGUUUUAUGCAUGAUUAUCUCAUCAUAUUAAAAAGUGCAAUGUCCUUGAAGCCACAUGAACAACUGUGAAUGAAAAAUGUUGGCACCAGCUUUUGUGGCAGUGCCACUAUUAUCAGAGGUGGCUUUAGACUUUAUGAGGCCUUAGGCAAAACUCAAACAUGAGGCCCCACUAACAAAAAAGUGUCACAUAUACACAUUGAUGCACAGUUUACCUGUGUAUGUGCCUGAGAGUGUGUCUGACAGAGAGUAUCCUUGUGUGUGAAUGUAUGUCUCUGUGAGCAUGUUUGCGUUUUUGUCUGAGACCCUAUGUGUAUGGGGUAGCUGUUUGAAGUGUGUUGUGUGUAUGGGGGGGUGAUGGUGAGAAGGAGAGGCGGGUG